GACAGAGGGUGCAAACGUUGUUCGGAAUUACUGGGCGUAAAGCGUGUGUAGGCGGCCACGCAAGUCAGGUGUGAAAGCCCCGGGCUCAACCCGGGAAGUGCACUUGAAACUGCAUGGCUCGAGUAUCGGAGAGGUUGGUGGAAUUCUCGGUGUAGAGGUGAAAUUCGUAGAUAUCGAGAGGAACACCGGUGGCGAAGGCGGCCAACUGGACGAAUACUGACGCUGAGGAGCGAAAGCGUGGGGAGCGAACAGG
rnacentral:rRNA from 1 species